rnacentral:ncRNA from 1 species
AUACUAGCACCCUAUUACACACACUGUUAACCCAACCCAGGCGUGCAUAAAAAGAAAGAUUAAAAGGAAUAAAAGGAACUUGGCAAACAUGAGCCCCACCUGUUUACCAAAAACAUCAUCUCUAGCAUUUACCAGUAUUAGAGGCACUGCCUGCCCAGUGAGUUGUGACUUUAACGGCCACGGUAUCCUGACCAUGCAAAGGUAGCAUUAUCACUUGUCUCUUAACUGGGGACUAGUAUGAAUGGCACAACGAGAGUUCAGCUGUCUCUUAUUCCCAAUCAGUGAAAUUGACCUUCCUGUGCAGAGGCGGGAAUACUUAUACAAGACAAGAAAACCCUGUGGAGCUUAAGUCACAUAACUCAACACAUACUAACAUCCAACCUAUCAGAACAAACUGUAUAAGCUACUGAGUUAUAGUCUUUGGUUGGGGUGACCUUGGAGCAUAAAACAACCUCCAAAUGAAUAUAACCUAGAUUAACCAAUCUAAGUAUAACAGUACCAGUAAUUGACCCAUCUCUUGAUCAAUGGAACAAGUUACCCCAGGGAUAACAGGGCAAUCCUAUUUGAGAGUCCAUAUCGAAAAUUAGGGUUUACAAACUCGAUGUUGGAUCAGGACACCUAAAUGGUGCAACUGCUAUUAGAGAUUCGUUUGUUCAAUGAUUAAAGUCCUACGUGAUCUGAGUUCAGACCGGAGAAAUGCAGGUCGGUUUCUAUCUGUAAAUUCAUUUUUCCCAGUACGAAAGGACAAGAGAAAUAGGGCCAGUGUCCCCAAUAAGCCCUAGAACUAACAUAUGAAUCAAUCUAAAUAUACUAAUUCAAUUUUUACUUCUCCCCAAGAUGGCAGAGUUGGUAACUGUGUAAAGUUUAAGCCUUUGCUCU